rnacentral:rRNA from 1 species
AGUGAACGCUGGCGGCAGGCCUAACACAUGCAAGUCGAACGGCAGCACAGCAGUAGCAAUACUGUGGGUGGCGAGUGGCGGACGGGUGAGGAAUACAUCGGAAUCUGCCUUAUCGUGGGGGAUAACGUAGGGAAACUUACGCUAAUACCGCAUACGACCUACGGGUGAAAGCGGAGGACCUUCGGGCUUCGCGCGAUAAGAUGAGCCGAUGUCGGAUUAGCUAGUUGGCGGGGUAAAGGCCCACCAAGGCGACGAUCCGUAGCUGGUCUGAGAGGAUGAUCAGCCACACUGGAACUGAGACACGGUCCAGACUCCUACGGGAGGCAGCAGUGGGGAAUAUUGGACAAUGGGCGCAAGCCUGAUCCAGCCAUGCCGCGUGGGUGAAGAAGGCCUUCGGGUUGUAAAGCCCUUUUGUCCGGAAAGAAAAGCAUCGGGUUAAUACCUCGGUGUUCUGACGGUACCGGAAGAAUAAGCACCGGCUAACUUCGUGCCAGCCGCCGCGGUAAAAC